CUUCUACUUCUUUGUUGACAGAAAGUGAAUUUCUCUCUGAAAAAGUAAAAGUUACAUUUAACAUGAGGACUUUCUUUACUAACAUACUUCAUAAAGUAGGGCCGCCAGAGGCUCUAAUGGGCCUUCAGAGAGAGAGAGAAAAGAAUAUUUUGGAACUCACAGUAGUCUCCAUAGGAAGGGAGCAGGGUAGGGACAGAGGCUGCCCCCUAGUUUCUUUGAGGUGACCUAAAGCGGGCAGAGAACUCACUCUGAAUAGUUAUGAGUUAAAGUGUCCAGACACUUCAGGGGUUGAUAAAGCAGUGUCACAUUAAAUGUUACCUGACCUAGUACCAAAGGAGCUGACGAGAGUGUAAGAGCUAAGAACCAUAAGGUAAUGUGUCAACGUAAAAUUUGACACUGUGAGCUCUAUAAAAAGAGAAUGCAGGACCACCUUGUUUAGAAAUUCAUUGAAAAGAUUGUAACACCAGCAGGGAGAGGGUUCCCCACUUCUCUCCACCCCUCCUUUACCUAGAAUAACAUAGAUGUUGACCACAAGGGACCUAAUCCAACAUCAGCAAUGGGUACAGUGAUGAUUGGUAAGUACGAACUGUGAGACAGUGACCCCCAAGUGUCAUGCCAAGGUCAGUACACAUCUGAAGAGUGCCAGCGGGACAGCUGUGCCAAAGGAACCAGGCAGAGAACAAGAGAUGGAAUUCUUUUACUGGCUGGCAAAAGUUAACUCUUUGAGGACCUGCCAAGAGAAAGGAGGAACUGUGAGUGCUGGGAGAAUCGGGGUGCUAGCAUCACAAAGGGGGCUCAGCGCCAGAAAUUCUUGUUGUCAUAACGCUUCCCUUGGGUUAGACCCCCUCAAGCAGUUGAGGAAGAUGAGGGAUGUAUUGAUUGCAGCCAACUUUACGGAAUUUUUAAAUCAUUAUUUUUCCUCCUUACCCAACCAUAUCCUCAAGCAUUAAGAAGACACUUCAGAUUCAGGAACAGAAAUUAUCUUACAUUUUAGGGUGGUGAAUUUCAGGUACGUAUUUUUUUGUUUUAAAAUGCAAGCGGCUAUAGGUAUAAAUAAGAUUUAAGUCAAAGUUAGCUGAUUAUUUUCUACAUAGGUUGAUCCAAAGAGUAUUUGGUAUGGUUAGAUCUUUGGGUCCUAGUUUCUGCUAUCACAUAGUUCAAAUGAGUAACAUAUUAAGAAUAGCUUCCUGUAACAUGCAAAGGAACACAAUUAAAAGGAGGAGAUUAUUCCUUUGAAAUGGAUUACUUAGAGAAUUUACAGAAUAUCUCCACUGGCAAUCUUGGAAGGUAAAAUAGGAAAACUGGUUUUCCAAGAUGAUUUAGGUUUAAUUUUAUUGAAGACAGAAAGAUAAAUUGUCAAAAUCUCCUCUACACCAUUAACACAGUAUUUGUGUUGAUAUGUUAGAAAAUAAAAGAAACUGAUUUUGGCA
rnacentral:lncRNA from 1 species